AAAAGACCUUCAACUGGUGUGAGUUCUGGAUCCUUCUUUCGCUUCGGGACUGCUGUGCAAGCGGUGUCUUCUGUCUCGUGUCUCUGUUGAGCAAAAUGGAAAUUCCUUGAAGCCUUCAGAGAGCAUUCAUCUGGCCAAGUUAAUGUUAUAUAUAUUGGUCAUGAGUUUGAUGCCCCCUUUGCCAUGAGUUUCUCGCAUCUGCUACAAGGAAGGAGAAACGCUUGCUUUAGCUGUGGUGUUGGAUCGUCAAGUGUUUGUUUUGAGCAAGGCAAUAUAUUAGGACCGCAGUGAAUAUUGCAUAUUACUGUGACUAACCGUACAUUGUAACAACCACGUAAACAACAAGUAUACGACUGUAGUGUUGUAACCCAGAGGUGAAAACUGUUUUUGGAUGAAUAAAUGUUCAGCUAAAUAAAGAGGAAAAAAAUCUUUAAAGAAAGCUGUCGUCCCCCCCACGGUUUCUUUUCAAGCAUGAGAAUAAUUGUCAAAUAUAGUGAUGUUCAUAGCAACUAGCUGGCUGUACGUUAUCCUGCUUAUUACAUGACUCUUUGACUCCCAA
rnacentral:lncRNA from 1 species